UAAAAAUAUUAAAUUUAGGAAAAAACUUCUUUGUAGUUUAAGCUCUUUGGUCCAAUAAUCUAAACUGUUUAUAUUGUAAAUCUCAUCAAAAAAUUUAAUACUGUAAAAAAUUAUUUUGAUCAAAUACAAAUCAACAGUUGAUCAAUAUCAAUUUAUAUCAAGAUAAAUUGGUAUAAACUAUUUAUUUAUUAAGUAAUAAAACAGUACUAAUCGGAUACUGAACUAUGUCUAAUCAACAGCUUUUUGAGGGUACCGAUUUAAAAUAUGAAUGGUUUAUAUUAUCAAAAUGAACCCAAAACUUGACACAAAAUGCUUAGAUUGCACAGGUAAAGUAUUUUGUACAUGCCUUUAAGCAACCAAAAAUAUAUAAAGAUAAUUUCAUCAAUCGAUGAAUUGACAUAUUUAUCAUUAUAACAUGGAAAAACACCAAUUAAAGCCAAUAUCACAAUCAAUCUCAAGAUUAUGUUAAGUGCGGCCCAUGUUUAUUGGGUGGCCGAAGUCGAAAAAAGGUGGAACAUAGACAUCUACUUGAAGGUUAAAUACGAUGGAUGUAUCAGUUUGGUGAAAAACACAAACACAGAGACUUAUGAGAACGUUGACUACUUCCCACCGAAGAGUCUUAUGUUCUUAGAAACGUGGAUGAUGAGCGCACGUGGCCUAAGCGGGUGAUUCGUGGAGCUAAAUCUUUUGGAAAUUACCUCGUAGGGCAUGUUUGGCUGGAGGAUAAGGGGGUAGAUAAUUUUUUUUCCGGAUAACUUUUUUUAUCCAGCGUUUAGAUGGUAAAAACCUGACCGAAUAACUUUUCUCCCCGAAUAACUUUUCUCCCAGUGAGAGGAUAGAGGCAGAUAAUUUAUGAGUGAUCCUCACCCUAAUUUUAUAUUCAUACACAAUAUAGAUAGAUAGAUAGAUAGAUAUUUAUAUAUGUAUAUAUAUAUUUUUAAUAUCUAUAUAUUUUACACUUUGUUUCUCUAUAUAUAUUUUCUUCCUUAUCCCCAUCCUUAUCCACUCAUUCUAAAAAGUAUCCAAACAAAAUUAAAAGUUAUCUCUCUCUAAAAAUUAUUCUCCUCUAAAAAUUAUUCCCUAAUAUUAUCCGGCAGGCAAACAACCCCUUAGUGUGUGUCAUAGAGCAAGUGUUAUAGAGUAAGUUAUAGAAAGAUAGAUAGAUAACGAUCAAGAAGUUAAAAAUAAGUGAUACAAGUCCAUACUCCAUACAGCACCUUAAUGAUCCAAAGUAUUAAUAUUGUAGAGUUCGUUAGUUGAUCAUCUAUGAAAAAAUCAGAUUGAUUAAAUAUCAGUAAUUACUUGAUCUAAACACAUUUAUUUUAAAAUAAAUGAACAGAAUGUAUAAUUUUUUUAAUAUACUAUGAGAUAAAUGGCAUUCAAUCAUUUGGUUAUUAUUAUCCAAUUAAUUUAAUUUUUUGCAUAAAUCAUAUACUCAACGGACUCUAUAAUAUAAUCAUUUGGUUAUUAUUAGGGUUCUGCCAUGUGUUAAAAAUUAAACAAAAAAUAAAUUAAUCAAAAAAAUAAUAAAAAAAAUUGAUUAAAAAAGAAAGAAAAGAAAAGAAACAAAACUACUUAAAAACUAAAUAAAACUAAAAAAAUUAAAAAAAUAAAGCGCAGAAACAAAAUUAAAAAAAAAACGCAAGGUUGGUUUGGCUGAGGGGACAAGGGUGGAAAAUCAUAUGGGAGACGGUAUAAAAGUCAUUUUGUUAGGAUAGGGAGGGGAGGGGAGCCAAUUUACUGUUCAAUAAAAUGUGCUGCAUGGCGGUCGCGUUGGUGUCCGAUUUUGAAUUGGAGCACGUCCACAACAGUGACCACUUCAAUCGGUCAGUUUGUGGCUCAAAACUUUAAAAAAAUUGAUGUCAAACAGAUUCAUGUUAGGUCCGCCAAGUUUAUAUAGUGGCUGAGGCCAAAAAACAAAGGGUGAACUAGACAUUUACUUUGAGGUUAAUAGUAAAUACGAUGGAUGUCUCAGUUUUGUGAAAACAACAAACACCACUUAUGAGACGUUGACUACUUCUACUUCCCACCGACAGUCUGAUAUUAUUAGAAGAGUAAUGUUAAGACGAGUUCGCUUACGUGGCGCGCCUAUAUCCACUCAUUUGGGGAUGGACUCCACUUAAAAAUAAAAAAUAAAAAAUAAAAAUUGUGGGGUUCACCCACAAAUAGGUGGAUGUGGGCUCACCAUGUAGGCGAGCCCGUGGUACGUAGGCGCCCACAUCCACUCAUUUGGGGGUGGACCCCACUUAAAAACAAAAAACAAAAAAUAAAAAUUGUGGAGUUCACCCCAAAUGAGUAGAUGUGCGCGCACCACGUAGGCGAGCCCGUGAUAAUACCGCGGACUCAAGCCCGUCUUAACAUUUCCCUUAUUAGAAACGUGGAUGAUGUGUGCGCGUGGCCUAAGCGGGUGAUUCGUGGAGCUAAACCAUUCGUAGAUUACUUCUUAGUGGGCAUGUUUGUUUUGGAGAUUAGAAUAUCGGAUUAAUUCUGUGGGGCCACU
rnacentral:lncRNA from 1 species